GGUGCUGUGGCGCAGUGGUUAGAGCCCCGGCCUGCAGUGCUGGCAUCCCAUAUGGGCGCUGGUUCAAGUCCUGGCUGCUCCA
rnacentral:tRNA from 1 species